GGACCCGCACAAGCGGUGGAGUAUGUGGUUUAAUUCGAUGCAACGCGAAGAACCUUACCAGGGUUUGACAUCCUGCGAAUCUCUUGGAAACGAGAGAGUGCCUUCGGGAACGCAGUGACAGGUGGUGCAUGGCUGUCGUCAGCUCGUGUCGUGAGAUGUUGGGUUAAGUCCCGCAACGAGCGCAACCCACGUCUUUAGUUGCCAGCAUUUAGUUGGGCACUCUAGAGAGACUGCCGGUGAUAAACCGGAGGAAGGUGUGGAUGACGUCAAGUCAUCAUGCCCCUUACAUCCUGGGCUACACACGUACUACAAUGGCAAGUACAACGAGUCGCAAUACCGCGAGGUGGAGCAAAUCUCUUAAAGCUUGUCUCAGUUCGGAUAGGAGUCUGCAACUCGACUCCUUGAAGUUGGAGUC
rnacentral:rRNA from 1 species